ACGGGGCCCGCACAAGCGGUGGAGCAUGUUGGUUUAAUUCGACGCAACGCGAAGAACCUUACCAGGGCUUGACACUCCCCUGACCGCGUAUGAAAGUACGUUUUCACCCUCGGGUGACAGGGAGACAGGUGGUGCAUGGUUGUCGUCAGCUCGUGUCGUGAGAUGUUGGGUUAAGUCCCGCAACGAGCGCAACCCUUGUCAUUAGUUGCUACGAAAGGGCACUCUAAUGAGACUGCCGGUGACAAACCGGAGGAAGGUGGGGAUGACGUCAAGUCCUCAUGGCCCUUAUAGGUGGGGCUACACACGUCAUACAAUGGCUGGUACAAAGGGUUGCCAACCCGCGAGGGGGAGCCAAUCCCAUAAAGCCAGUCGUAGUCCGGAUCGCAGUCUGCAACUCGACUGCGUGAAGUCGGAAUCGCUAGUAAUCGUGGAUCAGCAUGUCACGGUGAAUACGUUCCCGGGUCUU
rnacentral:rRNA from 1 species